rnacentral:rRNA from 1 species
GACGAACGCUGGCGGCGCGCUUAACACAUGCAAGUCGAGCGAGAACCAUGGCUUCGGCCAUGGGGAUAGCGGCGAACGGGUGAGUAACACGUGAGUAAUCUGCCCUCGACACUGGGAUAGCCCGGGGAAACCCGGAUUAAUACCGGAUAGCCUCUAGAACUCUCGGGUUCUUGAGAAAAGAUGGCUUCGGCUUUCGGUUGAGGAGGAGCUUGCGGCGGAUUAGCUUGUUGGCGGGGAAAGGCCCACCAAGGCGACGAUCCGUAGCUGGUCUGAGAGGACGGAUCAGCCACACUGGGACUGAGACACGGCCCAGACUCCUACGGGAGGCAGCAGUGGGGAAGUCUUGCGCAAUGGGCGAAAGCCUGACGCAGCGACGCCGCGUGAGGGAAGAAGGCCU